UUUGAUCGAUGAGAAUCAGUUAGUGAACGUUUCCUGACUAGUUUAAACUUAAGGAAUUAAUUGGUUAUCGGAACGUUUCUGAAAACUAGAACUGAUUUGCUACAUCCUGACCUUAUUGAUUUUUUUUACAUCAGUGAUCAAUUACACGAUUAGAGUGUAGCUAAUUCGUUAAUUGAGAAUGCUUACAUAAUUGAUUAAUCUAUAAUUUCUUCUAAUAGUUU
rnacentral:lncRNA from 1 species